rnacentral:rRNA from 1 species
GGCGAACGGGUGAGUAACACGUGAGUAACCUGCCCUUGACUUUGGGAUAACUUCAGGAAACUGGGGCUAAUACCGGAUAGGAGCUCCUGCUGCAUGGUGGGGGUUGGAAAGUUUCGGCGGUUGGGGAUGGACUCGCGGCUUAUCAGCUUGUUGGCGGGGUAGUGGCUUACCAAGGCUUUGACGGGUAGCCGGCCUGAGAGGAUGACCGGCCACAUUGGGACUGAGAUACGGCCCAG